GAUGAACGCUGGCGGUAUGCUUAACACAUGCAAGUCGAACGGACUCUUCGGAGUUAGUGGCGGACGGGUGAGUAACGCGUGAGAAUCUGGCUUUGGGUUCGGGACAACCACUGGAAACGGUGGCUAAUACCGGAUGUGCCGAGAGGUAAAAGAGAAAUUGCCUGAAGAUGAGCUCGCGUCUGAUUAGCUAGUUGGUGAGGUAAAGGCUCACCAAGGCAGCGAUCAGUAGCUGGUCUGAGAGGAUGACCAGCCACACUGGGACGGAGACACGGCCCAGACUCCUACGGGAGGAAGCAGUGGGGAAUUGUCCGCAAUGGGCGAAAGCCUGACGGAGCAAUACCGCGUGAGGGAAGAAGGCUCUUGGGUUGUAAACCUCUUUUCUUAGGGAAGAACAAAAUGACGGUACCUAAGGAAUCAGCAUCGGCUAACUCCGUG
rnacentral:rRNA from 1 species